AUUCAAAUAGCUUAAUGAGAGCGUAAUAUUGAAGAUAUUAAGGUAAUGAAAAUUUUUGAGUA
rnacentral:tRNA from 1 species